rnacentral:rRNA from 1 species
UACGAAGGGUGCAAGCGUUACUCGGAAUUACUGGGCGUAAAGCGUGCGUAGGUGGUUUGUUAAGUCUGAUGUGAAAGCCCUGGGCUCAACCUGGGAAUUGCAUUGGAUACUGGCAAGCUAGAGUGCGGUAGAGGAUGGCGGAAUUCCCGGUGUAGCAGUGAAAUGCGUAGAGAUCGGGAGGAACAUCUGUGGCGAAGGCGGCCAUCUGGACCAGCACUGACACUGAGGCACGGAAAGCGUGGGGAGCAACAGG